AUUAGUGUUGUUACCAGUAGGAAGGGCGGUGGGGGCGGUCAUAAGGAGUCGCCGACAAGAACUUCACUCCGGCUCCUCCACCACCGUGUGAAGAUGUGGUAGCGUUAUCGGCUACUUCGCCUUUUCGUUGUCAGUAUUUUCGUCCGAUUUUGAAAUAUUGGUGGUCAGAGAUAAUAGGGGAGAGGGGGCGAAAGCUAGGGUUUUAUUUUUGGGAGUGGCCAAAGAAAGCGAUGCUCGAUGAUAUGGGCAAACGAGGGAGAAGGUGAAUAUGGCAGAGAAGGAGAAAGUGAAGGGCAGAAGGAUGCAGAUGAGGGAGAAGAGGAAAAUGAAGGAUCUGAAGAUAGCGGCGCCGCUCCUAUGUGUUAAACCCUAAAAUGAGAGAAGUAUUUAUAGUAUUGUUAUUAUGUAAUUAAUUAGUAGU
rnacentral:lncRNA from 1 species